GACGAACGCUGGCGGCGUGCUUAACACAUGCAAGUCGAGCGGUAAGGCCCUUUCAGGGGUACACGAGCGGCGAACGGGUGAGUAACACGUGGGUGACCUGCCCUUAGCUCUGGGAUAAGCCUGGGAAACUGGGUCUAAUACCGGAUAUGACUCCAUGACGCAUGUUGUGGGGUGGAAAGCCUUGUGCGGCUAGGGAUGGGCCUGCGGCCUAUCAGCUUGUUGGUGGGGUGANGGCCUACCAAGGCGACGACGGGUAGCCGGCCUGAGAGGGCGACCGGCCACACUGGGACUGAGACACGGCCCAGACUCCUACGGGAGGCAGCAGUGGGGAAUCUUGCGCAAUGGGCGAAAGCCUGACGCAGCGACGCCGCGUGGGGAUGACGGCCUCGG
rnacentral:rRNA from 1 species